UUUUUGCAGGGGGGUUUAUCAUCAUCAUCAUCAAUCGUUGUUCCCAAUGGAGAGAAAUAACAACGACGAUGCUUUUCCCCCCUUACAACAAUUAUGGUUGUUGUGUUGCAGCUGUGCAUACACAACAAACGCCAUUUCAUUUUAUGAACAAACGAAAAAACUGCUUUGUGUGUGUUGUGUUGUGUGCACGUAGUUUUCCACCCCACAAAAAAAAAAUUUAGUCAUAUCGACCUAUGAUGUGUAUGAUCAUAGAGAAAAUAACUAAAAAGGACAGCAGAUGUGCGCACUGCUGCCGUUGCAUGUCGCUUGAUUACACAUUCCUUUCUUUGUCUGUCUAUAUUUCCACAACACAGGACACGCCUCAUCUAACACAAAUACAAGUUUUUGUCAAGAAACACUAAAAACUACGCAGCAAAAUUUCCCCUCUUCAAACACACAAGUUAUCAUUAUCCCCCUUUUUCUCCCUCUCUAUAGUCGUCCGCUCAGUAACAACGACUCCACCACAGACAUUUUUUUUUUCAUUCCCCAUGAAUGAGAAAAACUCACAAACAACACACCCAAACUAAACUACAAUAUCUUAUUUCAAUCAAGCGGGUAUUUCUUUUCACCACAGGACACAAUAAAAAUCGACUAUCAAAAAAAAAAAAACAACGAAUCGUGUGCACCGAACAACAAUUCCUAUUACCCUCUUGCCCCAAACGAAAAUGCUUAAUUAAUUGAUUAAUUUGAAUUUGCCUUGAAACAACACAGCCAUAACAAAAGAGGGAGAGAACAAACGAUGAUGAUGAUGAUGAUGAUGAAUAUAAAAUGCAAUAGUACAUUGUGGGGAAAGAAAAAAAUUUGAUAUGAUGGAAAAAAACAAAUCCAAAAUGGACGAAAGACACACACAGUAUAUGUGUAGUAUAUUUGUAACUACAGUUGAAACUCGUUUUUAAUUUAAGGGAAAAUAAAGUAAUUCUCGAUUUUAUCAAUAUAAAUAAAUAAAUAGUACACAUCAUGUGAGUGAUAAAGUAAAUAACAUGUUUUUACAUUGAACAAAAAUUCUAUUCAUUUUAGAAAUUUCUGUUUUUUUUAGUAUCCGGUACACAUGGACAAAUUUCACCUAGAUUUCACUGUAUUUCAUUUAUUUUCUAUUACACAUUUUAUUUGGCUCGACAAAACACUUGAAAUAACAAAGAGAGAAAUGGAUUCGGCUUGGUGGAGAUUGGUGGAAUGUUGUGCCAUGGCAAAGAACUUAUCGUUGAUAAUGAUAAAGUUGCUUGGCUAUUUUUUGGGAACCAUACACAUGGUUGGUUGGUUGGCUGGUUGAUUGGUGGAGGUGUUUUUUUCCUGUUUUUUCCAUUCGAUUCAAUUUAUUCAAUUGCUCCCCCAUCGCCAUUACUAUAAUCAUCAUCAUCGUGUUUUCCCCUCUUGUUUCCCCUUUUUUUCUGUUCUGAACAUUUCAUAUCAAGCGAUAGUUUUUUUUUUUUUUGAACACGACAUUCACUCACUAACAAUUUAGAAUGGUCCGUAAAAAUCUGCUGGAUGAUGAUGCUGUGCAAACGACACGACCAAUGCAGCAGCAGCAGCCGUAGAUGAAAAUCCAAUCAUCAAUCAUGGUUCACAUGAACACCCCCCUUCCAUUCUUGGUCGAUGAGCCAGAAAUAAAUUUCAAUUUUUUUUUGAAUCACUGGCGCCACCUUGUGCUGGAAUUCGGGAAUAAAUCGAUAUCAAUCAAUGAUGAUGAUUUGCCAAUAAAACAAUGACAUUAUUAUAAAAAGAA